UUCACAGCCACUGACACACUGGCAGCACAAUGAUGAUGUCUCUGACUCUACUGCUGGCCACCCUGGGGCUCCUUGUUCAGGAUUCAUCAGGAGAAAUCAUCCUGACUCAGUCUCCUGGAUCUCAGUCUGUUGUUCCAGGACAAACUGUCUCUAUCAAAUGUAAAACCAGUUCAGGUAUUGGUGGCUGGCUCAGCUGGUACCUUCAGAAACCUGGAGACGCUCCUAAACUCCUGAUUUAUUUUGCUACAACCCUUCAGUCUGGAGUUUCAGAUCGUUUUAGUGGAAGUGGAUCUGGGUCUGACUUCACUCUGACCAUCAGUAGAGUUCAGGCUGAAGAUUCAGGAGUUUACUACUGUCAGCAGGGUAGCAGCUUCCCGCUCACACAGUGAUACAACGUCGUACAAAAACCUCCCUCAGCUGCAGAGGAACUGAUCUGAAUCAACAGCUGCAAUGAAACUAAAACCGCAAAAGUUUUACUAAAGAAAAUGUAU